GCGAGAGUGGCGGAAUUGGUAGACGCACUGGAUUUAGGUUCCAGCGGGUAGUCCCCGUGGGGGUUCGAGUCCCCCCUUUCGCACCA
rnacentral:tRNA from 1 species